rfam:Bacteroides thetaiotaomicron VPI-5482, complete genome.
GCCAGCAUUUCGUAUAGCCAAGACUUGCGAGAGAGUGCCAGAUAAAUUCAGUAACCCACUGUCCGUGUAAAAACGGUCAUGGCGGAUAGAUGUAUCCGAAGCCAUGUUGCGGGCAGUAAUGGACAGUUUUAUAUCGGGGUUCCGAAAGGUCCUCCGAUAUAUACAAUAAGUGGUUAUAUUUCCC